GCCGCGCGAGUGAUUUUGAGAUGAUACAUGUCCGAAAACGAAAAACCAAAAGACAGGGGGAAAAAAAAGGGACAACAAAACAAGAUAUAGAGAAGAAACCAGAAAGGAAUGGUCCGCCUUAAACAUCGUUAUCUCCUGGUAGACAUCCUGUACCCCCCGGCCUCCGUCGACGCUACGACACCAGCAAAGUCGAAACACACACCCAACAAUGCGAAAGACAUCCACCUCCUCAUCCACCGCCCGACCACCGACACACUAACUCCACAGUCCCUUGCACGUGCCGUGCGCGAGCAUGUCGCGGAGAUGUUUGGUGACUGGGGCAUGGGCAGGCUGGGCGGCAGCAGCGCGGGGGGGGUUAGUGUGAAAUACCUUUCCCCCGCAACAUCCACGGCUAUAAUCCGCUGCCCUCGUGCGAGCUACAGACUUGUCUGGUGCGCGUUAACGUACAUGUCUCGCAUACCACCUUCAUCAUCCAAAAGUGGCAAGCCUGGCGUGAUGCAAAGCGAUUGUGUGUUUCGUGUCGUGAGGGUUUCAGGGACGAUGAAGAAGGCGGAGCAAGAGGCUAUUGCGAGGGCGAGGAGGGAGGUUGUUCGGAUGCGGAUGAGAGGGG
rnacentral:sRNA from 2 species